rnacentral:rRNA from 1 species
GAUGAACGCUGGCGGCGUGCCUAAUACAUGCAAGUCGAGCGAACAGACGAGGAGCUUGCUCCUCUGACGUUAGCGGCGGACGGGUGAGUAGCACGUGGAUAACCUACCUAUAAGACUGGGAUAACUUCGGGAAACCGGAGCUAAUACCGGAUAAUAUAUUGAACCGCAUGGUUCAAUAGUGAAAGACGGUUUUGCUGUCACUUAUAGAUGGAUCCGCGCCGCAUUAGCUAGUUGGUAAGGUAACGGCUUACCAAGGCGACGAUGCGUAGCCGACCUGAGAGGGUGAUCGGCCACACUGGAACUGCGACACGGUCCAGACUCCUACGGGAGGCAGCAGUAGGGAAUCUUCCGCAAUGGGCGAAAGCCUGACGGAGCAACGCCGCGUGAGUGAUGAAGGUCUUCGGAUCGUAAAACUCUGUUAUUAGGGAAGAACAAAUGUGUAAGUAACUAUGCACGUCUUGACGGUACCUAAUCAGAAAGCCACGGCUAACUACGUG